rnacentral:rRNA from 1 species
UACGGGGGGGGGGUAAGCGUUGUUCGGAAUUACUGGGCGUAAAGCGUGCGCAGGCGGUUUUGUAAGCCAGAUGUGAAAUCCCCGGGCUUAACCUGGGAAUGGCAUUUGGGACUGCAAGGCUCGAGUGCGGCAGAGGAGACUGGAAUUCCUGGUGUAGCAGUGAAAUGCGUAGAUAUCAGGAGGAACACCGAUGGCGAAGGCAGGUCUCUGGGCUGACACUGACGCUCAUGCACGAAAGCGUGGGGAGCAAACAGG